rnacentral:rRNA from 1 species
GAUGAACGCUGGCGGCGUGCCUAAUACAUGCAAGUCGAGCGAACAGACGAGGAGCUUGCUCCUCUGACGUUAGCGGCGGUCGGGGGAGUAACACGUGGAUAACCGACCUAUAAGACUGGCAUAACCUCGGGAAACCGGAGCUAAUACCGGAUAAUAUAUUGAACCGCAUGGUUCAAUAGCGAAAGACGGCUUUGCUGUCACUUAUAGAUGUAUCCGCGCCGCAUUAGCUAUUUGGUAAGGUAACGGCUUACGAUAGCAACGAUGCGUAGCCGACCCGAGAGGGUCGACCAGCAGACUGGAACUGAGAAAGGGCCGCGACACCGAAGGGAGGCAGCAGUCGGAACUCCUCCGCGAGGCAGCAAUGCCUGAUAGAGCAAAGCCGCGUGAGUCAUGAAGCUCCGCGGACCCGAAAACUAAGAUAGUAGGCAAAAAGAAAAGUGCAAGCAUAUAUGAACGUCAUGACGGUACCAAAUAAGAAAGCUCCGGCUAACUACGUG